GCACUGCUGAGGAGUCCCAAGACAGGACGAAACGGCCGUCCAGUGC
rfam:Schistosoma curassoni strain Dakar, Senegal genome assembly, scaffold: SCTD_scaffold0001188